UACGAAGGGGGCUAGCGUUGCUCGGAAUCACUGGGCGUAAAGGGUGCGUAGGCGGGUCUUUAAGUCAGGGGUGAAAUCCUGGAGCUCAACUCCAGAACUGCCUUUGAUACUGAAGAUCUUGAGUUCGGGAGAGGUGAGUGGAACUGCGAGUGUAGAGGUGAAAUGCGCAGAUAUCAGGAAGAAUAUCCGUGGCGAAGGCGGCUCUCUGGUACGGCACUGACGCUGAGCAGCGAAAGCGUGGGGAGCGAACAGG
rnacentral:rRNA from 1 species